CCUCAAAGCCGAUUAGCCUUAAAACUCAUUGGAUAUUUCCUACAGAUAAAACAACGCUUCUGUGUGUGUAGAAAUGUCCGGAAAAAGCCUUAUACUUGUUGGUUUUCGUUUAAUUGAAGAAUCGGCCUUAGGCCUUCUAUCCUGUUGAUGUUCACACAUUGCCUUUUUGUGAUAUUCAGUUGAAACCGCUCUGUGGAACGUCCCUUCAGCUAGCCGAGUUUUUCCUUUCCAUUUUCGAUAUCUGGUCGGAGGGGGCGGGCUGCUUUUGUUCGAAUGAAAAUGCGAUUUGCACUUUUUUAUGAUUGGCAUGUGUUAAUAAAUUUUCAAGGCUCAUGGCUAUGAGUGGCACGUCACGUUGUCCGUUCCAGCACUCAGACCCACUCGGUGUUAUUUCCGUGUGUGUGGGAGAACUGACACGUAUUUUCGUGUUCUAUCCCAUCUAUGGGUCCUAUCCGCUGAGGUCUCUAAAUUAGCUCCACACUAAUUUUGUGCUUCGAUGAGCAAAAGCUGCCUUCCUGGCAGCCUGAAAGGCGGAACCGAACGAAGCGGUAAAUGAUGGUGGAACCGUGUCGGAAGGGAGAAAUGCUGUUGACACGAUGACAGGAUAUUUUUU
rnacentral:lncRNA from 1 species